rnacentral:snRNA from 14 species
GGAUGCAAGGGUGAUCUGGCUGCAACAUCUGUCACCCCAUUGAUCGCCAGGGUUGAUUCAGUUGAUCUGGCUGGCUGAUCUGGGUGUCCCCUUCCUCCCUCACUGUUCCAAGUGCGUCCCUCCUGAAGCUGCGUACUCUGUCAAAGAGGACGAGCUUCCCCUAUACAGACGGUACCGUUCAUCAGUCACGGGUAUAUGGUAGCUGCGCUCCCCUGCUAGAAUAUCCAAACAAGCUCAAGGUCCAGUUGUAAGAGAACGUAGGGUAGUCAAGUUUCCAAGACUGCGGACACAUUCCAAGUGAGGCCCUGCACAUGGCAGUCUGCCAUUCUUU